GUCCACGCCGUAAACGAUGAGUGCUAGGUGCUGUGGGUAUUGACCCCCGCGGUGCCGCAGCCAACGCGUUAAGCACUCCGCCUGGGGAGUACGGCCGCAAGGCUAAAACUCAAAGGAAUUGACGGGGGCCCGCACAAGCGGUGGAGCAUGUGGUUCAAUUCGACGCAACGCGCAGAACCUUACCUGGGUUAAAUCCACCAGUCGGCUACAGAGAUGUGGCUUUGCUCUUCGGAGAGCUGGUGAGAAGGUGCUGCAUGGCUGUCGU
rnacentral:rRNA from 1 species